rnacentral:rRNA from 1 species
GACGAACGCUGGCGGCGUGCUUAACACAUGCAAGUCGAACGGAAAGGCCCUGCUUUUGUGGGGUGCUCGAGUGGCGAACGGGUGAGUAACACGUGAGUAACCUGCCCUUGACUUUGGGAUAACUUCAGGACACUGGGGCUAAUACCGGAUAGGAGCUCCUGCUGCAUGGUGGGGGUUGGUAGGUUUCGGCGGUUGGGGAUGGACUCGCGGCUUAUCAGCUUGUUGGUUGGGUAGUGGCUUACCAAGGCUUUGACGGGUAGCCGGCCUGGGAGGGUGACCGGCCAAACUAGGACUGGGCUACGGCACAGCCUACUACCGGACGCAGCAGUGGGGAAUGUUGCACAAGGGGCGGAAGCCUGAUGCAGCCACGCCGCGUGCGGUAUGAGGUCAUUCGGGUUGUAAACCGCUUUCGCUUGUGACGAAGCGUGAGUGACGGUAAUGGGUAAAGAAGCACCGGCUAACUACGUG